CACGUAGGCACCAAGCGUUGUCCGGAUUUAUUGGGCGUAAAGAGCUCGUAGGCGGCUCGUCGCGUCGACCGUGAAAACCAGCAGCUUAACUGCUGGCUUGCGGUUGAUACGGGCGGGCUAGAGUUCGGUAGGGGAGACUGGAAUUCCUGGUGUAGCGGUGAAAUGCGCAGAUAUCAGGAGGAACACCGGUGGCGAAGGCGGGUCUCUGGGCCGAUACUGACGCUGAGGAGCGAAAGCGUGGGGAGCGAACAGG
rnacentral:rRNA from 1 species